rnacentral:rRNA from 1 species
CCUACGGGUGGCAGCAGUGGGGAAUAUUGGACAAUGGGGGCAACCCUGAUCCAGCCAUGCCGCGUGUGUGAAGAAGGCCCUCGGGUUGUAAAGCACUUUCAGUGAGGAAGAACGCCUGGUGGUUAAUACCCAGCAGGAAAGACAUCACUCACAGAAGAAGCACCGGCUAACUCCGUGCCAGCAGCCGCGGUAAUACGGAGGGUGCGAGCGUUAAUCGGAAUUACUGGGCGUAAAGCGCGCGUAGGUGGCUUGAUAAGCCGGUUGUGAAAGCCCCGGGCUCAACCUGGGAACGGCAUCCGGAACUGUCAAGCUAGAGUGCAGGAGAGGAAGGUAGAAUUCCCGGUGUAGCGGUGAAAUGCGUAGAGAUCGGGAGGAAUACCAGUGGCGAAGGCGGCCUUCUGGACUGACACUGACACUGAGGUGCGAAAGCGUGGGUAGCAAACAGGAUUAGAUACCCGGGUAGUC